UGGGGAAUAUUGCACAAUGGGCGCAAGCCUGAUGCAGCCAUGCCGCGUGUAUGAAGAAGGCCUUCGGGUUGUAAAGUACUUUCAGCGGGGAGGAAGGUGUUGUGGUUAAUAACCACAGCAAUUGACGUUACCCGCAGAAGAAGCACCGGCUAACUCCGUGCCAGCAGCCGCGGUAAUACGGAGGGUGCAAGCGUUAAUCGGAAUUACUGGGCGUAAAGCGCACGCAGGCGGUCUGUCAAGUCGGAUGUGAAAUCCCCGGGCUCAACCUGGGAACUGCAUCCGAAACUGGCAGGCUUGAGUCUUGUAGAGGGGGGUAGAAUUCCAGGUGUAGCGGUGAAAUGCGUAGAGAUCUGGAGGAAUACCGGUGGAGAAGGCGGCCCCCUGGACAAAGACUGACGCUCAGGUGCGAAAGCGUGGGGAGCAAACA
rnacentral:rRNA from 1 species